CGUAAUAGCUCACUGGUCGAGUCGGCCUGCGCGGAAGAUGUAACGGGGCUAAACCAUGCACCGAAGCUGCGGCAGCGACACUGUGUGUUGUUGGGUAGGGGAGCGUUCUGUAAGCCUGUGAAGGUGUGCUGUGAGGCAUGCUGGAGGUAUCAGAAGUGCGAAUGCUGACAUAAGUAACGAUAAAGCGGGUGAAAAGCCCGCUCGCCGGAAGACCAAGGGUUCCUGUCCAACGUUAAUCGGGGCAGG
rnacentral:rRNA from 1 species